GACGAACGCUGGCGGCGUGCUUAACACAUGCAAGUCGAACGAUGAAGCAAAGAAUCGAAGCUUCGGCAGAAAUUCAUUUCGGAUUAGUGGCAGACGGGUGAGUAACGCGUGAGCAACCUACCUCUUACAAAGGGAUAGCCUCGGGAAACCGGGAUUAAUACCAUAUAACAUUGUGACGAAGCAUUUCGAUGCAAUCAAAGCUACGGCGGUAAGAGAUGGGCUCGCGUCCCAUUAACCGGAUGGUGAGGUAACGGCUCACCAUAGUGACGAUGGGUAACCGGCCUGAGAGGGUGAACGGUCACACUGGAACUGAGACACGGUCCAGACUCCUACGGGAGGCAGCAGUGGGGAAUAUUGCACAAUGGAGGGAACGCUGAUGCAGCGACGCCGCGUGAGUGAUGAAGGAAUUCGUUUCGUAAAACUCUGUUCUAUGGGAAGAAAAGGACUGUACCAUAGGAGAAAGCUCCGGCUAAAUACGUG
rnacentral:rRNA from 1 species